AGCUACUAAAUCACUUGUUAUGGUCUGCUCCUGCAGAGUCAGAUGAAUUACAACUCAUGCAGACAGCUUGACUAGGAACUUGUGAAUUACAGAGGUCACUUUCCAAAAAGGACAGAAAAAGGUCUCCAAAAACUGUCAAAGGCCACUAUAUCACUGCCAAAUGAGGCUUAGAGCUAGCUCAGCAAACUGAUACGAUUUUAGGGGAGCUUUGAAUACAUCCAUUUAUAGACUUGUUCAUCGUUGAAACUGUGCAACAUGUGGCAGGGAGAUAAGUACAUUUAGCUGGAAAAUGAGUGCAUCCAGACUAAACUAGUUAGACAACAGCAGACAAAAGUUAAAAGAGCCGCUUCAGCAGAGCUCUCGUGGAUGUGGGUACCGCCCUUACAGAGUUCAUCAUCCUCUCUCCCUUCCCCCAAAAUUACAUAGAAGUUAGAGAUGGAUAAACAAGGAGGGCCCUUUUGAAAUUAGUUUCUAAAUAGAUAAUUUUAAAAACCACCUACUAAAGGAACCUUCUUAUGUUGUAGCAGAGAAAUUUCUGCACAGGAAAAAGUACCUUGAAUGAUACAAUAACAGAAUUUCAUGCUGAUAUAUUACUUACAACUUGAAAGUCUUCAUAAAUGCUAUUCAGUAACUGAUUAAAUAUUACCACCACUGUGCCAAGACAGCCAGGAAACAACAAGAGCUGUCAAGUGGCUCUUCCAAAGAAACGGAAGGAAUAAAUGCUUGAAAGGUGACCUAAAAUUUGGGAAUUUUGAUUUCAAGGGUCUUGAAAUGGUGUUACCCCAGCAGACAGACAGUUCACUGAUAAAAAGGGGAUAUGCAUUCCUGAUUCUAACUGUCCAGCUGCAUGCCUACUCAUUUGUGACACAGGAACGUGGGUUAAUUGUUAAUCUUGGAUUGAUGCUGUUGGCAGAUGUGAUAAGAUUGCAUUUUGCAAUCUACCAAGAAUGCAACUACAUGGAACUCAGACCGGUCUGUGGCCCAUUUUGAUAUGCUCUUCAUUGGGCUGGACCAUGCUUGGACCAUGCAAAUAAAAACUCAAAUACAGGCUGUAGUAAUCUGCCAUGAAGUGCAUUGCACAGGAGCAUCAGUUGAUACUGUGAUACAGGGAAUUCCCAGGAUACUAAUUUUGAUGUUCAUAAGAAUGAAUGCACAAAUGGGACAUGGUUAUCUCAAGGACUCUGCUAAUCAGGACUGUUAGAAUAAGGAGAGGUCAUACAGGUACUCAGCUUGAUUUUAAGUGAGGAGAGCAGGAAUUUGCAGUGGAUAUUCCCACCUUCCACCUGCAGAGCCUGGAUAUGUUGCACUUCAAAAGACUCAGCCUAAUAUUUUCUUCAAGGUUUUGGCUAAGCUGGAAGAUGAGUGAAGAGCUGGAAAGGAACUCUGUGAUCUGUGUCUGUGAUAUGCAUUUAUUUAUGAAUGGGGACUGGAAUGGGGGAGAUGGUGAAAGACCUCCAUUACAUUAAGUGAUUGCAGUGUGAAAUUAAACUAUACAAGAGCUCAAAGGGCAUAGAGUGGCCACAUAGGUACACUUAGGGAUAAAAAGAAAAAAUGCUAAUAAAUAUUUCCCCUGUUCCACAUUUCUUCUUAGGAAAUUGUAGUAACUCAGCUCACUACGUGAACAUUCUCUCCAACACACAUUGUACUUAAAGGAGCAGUUUCCCCACAUGACUUCAUUCUAAUUACCUACAAAUAGUCAUACAAGAAAAACCUCAAUCCACUCAUGCUCUUUACAGCUGUGAUUAGCAUUUUCAUUUCAGAACUUCUGUGUGACACUGCUUGCCCGGAAUUCAUUACUCAAUCUCCCUGCAUAAUGCAUGGCAACCCGCUGCUGAUGUGUCACAGUGCCUCUAUGCGGUGCCCAGCGCCUGCAGCAUCCCUGAAGUUUGUCCAUACACUGCAACAGCUGCCAACAGAUAGAUCACAACAGCCUGGCAAAGCACUUAGUACAUUUAAAAUGCCUGGUUUUAGGUUCCAGGAAAAAUGCAGCUACUACUCCCAGUGGCCUCACAAAUCUUCAGGACAUCAAUAGGUGGUUUGUGUGUGGAACUCCACCAGGACAGGACCUCUGUGUGUUGAUGAUAUCCUGUGUGUACUCCCUGUGUCACCAUUCAGGCUGCUUACAGCUGAACAGGGUGGUUCCCACAUUUCCCUUCCUGCACCAAGUCCUGCUCUGAUUAAAAGGUACACCUCA